rnacentral:lncRNA from 1 species
GCUGGCUUUCACUCGAACCUUUUCCACUCAGAAGAGUGUGAUGUAGCUGACUGGAUGUUGGGCAUGGGUUGCAUUUGAUGCCCAGAGAGUUAUGGCUUUAUGCUAGUUCUCCACCCCAGGGCAAUGAGUCCGCCUCCUAAGGUCCUCUCCUCUGACCGCUUCGAUGCGCUUGUUCUAGGGUAUGCUGUGGCUGGCUUCUUGUGGAAGCCUUCGCUGCCUGGGUCAGCCAUAUACCCUUCCCCACUCCCCGCUCGGCUAGUUGAUAGGAACCCUGACUACCGAAGAAGCAUUGGAUGAAGGACCCUUAUCCACAUUGCAGUAUAGCAUCAAUGAAGAGGAAAUGACAC